UGCAGGUACUCUAAGGAACACUUACAAAGUGAGCACAAGGCUAACUGCUGCAGGUGGACGUGAUUGCAGAAGGUUCUGCUGCAACGUGGCUUGUCAAUGCAGUAUGCUUCAGAAACAUGUAACAUGCAUGCCUGUCUGAUCUGAAUUGCUAAGUGCAAUGCAGAACAGCUUCAAAAGCCUUAUACGCUUCCAGCACUUCAGUGGGCCAUAAACAACGUGAGGAAUUGUGUCAUUUUGGGCUGCUACUUGUGUCACCAAAUAUUAACUACAACUGGAUUAAGAAAGAGUUGUGCUUCUCAGAGGAGAGCUACUAAGCUGCCUUCUAGGGUGACAACUUACUUAAGACACUGCAGAAGAGAGAUUUCAGCAAAUCUGAAAAGAACUUUAGAACUACAGAAUCCCAGCAUUUGACAUCCAGUGUGAAGAACACAUCCACCAAGCAAAAUGCUUCUGCUUGUAAGCUGCUUACCUGUAGGAGGGUCGUCUGGAAAGGAUUUCUCUCCGUUUCUGUGAGUCUGUGACACUGUCCACUGAUUCCUGUGAGUCUUCACUUUCUGCUAUAGUUGAGAUCUGAAAAUAAGAACAGUAAUCACAUUUAACAGGACACUUCCAAUGUCUUUAUUUUAAGGAACUGCUGACAUGACGCGUGUAUUAUACACUACUACUACCUAUGCAAUUAAAAGAAAGGGCAGGCUGUUUAAAAGUAACAGAUACAGUGAAGAAUGACCAGAACCAGAUAUCUACCCAUGAGACUGUCCCUUAGAAUUUCAAUACUACAGUAAGAGAAUACAAAAAUUAGUCCCAAGCAGUUUUUGUUUUUCAUGAUUUCUUCCUUGUUUCCAUCCAUUUUGAGGGAACAAACGAGGAAGUCAGUCAGACUUAGGGAGAGAAAAACUAAAAGCAAAUUAAGAAAGGAUGCAGAAAGGUUAGAAAGAGCAAAAUAAUGAAACUGAGAAACAACUUUUUGUAAAUCACUGUAUGGAUUUAUUACACAAAGACUGCUUUUUCUUUUGGGAAAUCAUCAGGAAAACAUCAUGCCUGAAGAUGCUAAAAAAUAGUGCAGUGCUGCAAUUCUGAAAAUGGGAGCUAAAAAA